rnacentral:tRNA from 1 species
GCCGAAAUAGCUCAGUUAGGAGAGCGUUAGACUAUCGAAAAUCUCUGGUUCGAUCCCGGCUUUCGGAA